rnacentral:lncRNA from 1 species
UAACAAAUAUUAUUUUUUAAUAUGUUUACAUUUCUCAAUAAUUGCAAAUUUAAUUUUUAUCAAAACUUUUUUGCCUUAAUUCCAUUCUCAACUGUAUUGAGUGGAAAGCUUAAAAAUAUUUUUAUUGUAUCUUUAAAAAAACCUGUUCAUAUAUGCAUGUAUUUCAGAUCACUUGCAAUAUUUAUUUUUUAUUACGUUUUUUUAACCUUAGUUCCAUCUACAUGUGGUAUAAAUGGCAUGUUUACAAAUUAUUACUUUUCAAUAUGAAUAUGCAUUUCUUAGCAAUCGCAAUUUUUAUUUUUUAUUACAACUUUGUUAACCUUUAGUUACAAGUGUUAAUCAAGCUGUAGCAGCUGCUACAAGUGGUAAUACAAGUGCCUUAUAAACAAUUAUUUUUUAAUAUAUGUAUCUUUUAUGUAUGUGUUAAAAUGUUGUUUUAAAUAUGUGCAUGCCUUUUUUAUAAAUUGCAAAUAAAAUUUGAUUCUAUUACAACUUUUUUUUACCUUUAGUCCCACAACCUCCUCAACAUGCUCGACAACCUUCUGCUGGGACCAGCACCCUGGACCGAGUAGCAUUGGUCAUUUUUGUGAUGGGUUAUGAGAGAAUGAUGGUGAAUUAUUCAGCUUAGCCCAUCAUCCUCCUAACAGGGUACUGGGAGCAGAAGGGGAUAUCACCAUGAGGAGAGCGUGGUUUUAUUUAUAUACAUAUUUUGUAUUGUGAAACUUUUUAAAAUAUAAGUUUUAAAACUUUGGGUUCUUUUUAGGGUGGAUACUCAAACCUGCAUCUUGUAAUGUGGUAAGAUUUGUAAAGUUUUGUCUCUUUUUUAACACAAUUUAAAGACAUUUUCAAAUUUUUUAUUGACAUUUUUUUAUAAUUUGAAUAAGAAGAGGCUGGGGGGCAUUGGAUGUGGCACACACCCCUACCCUUACUAACAUGGUAAAAAUAUUAUUGUCUUAACGAUUAAUUCAAGCUUUUUUUUUUGUUUUCUUCUAUACAUUGCUUCUUUAAAAUAUCUUGAGAAACUUUAAUAGGAAAAUUGUUAAUUUUAGCAUAUUAUAACAAUGUAUGACUUAUUAUGAAAUCUGUUAACAGUUUUCUCACAAUCGUUUAAAACUUUUAUAGCAUUAUGUCAGGUAUUGAAUGGUUCUUUAAACAGUUUAUUUAAUAUAUCAUGUGGUAUAAAUGUUACAAGUGUUAACCAAGCUGUAGCAGCUGCAACAAGUGGUAAUACAAGUGCCUCAUAAACUAUUAUUUUUUAAUAUAUGUAUCUUUUAUGUAUGUGUUAAAAUGUUGUUUCAAAUAUGUGCAUGCCUUUCUUAUAAAUUGAAAUAAAACAUCAAUAGGAAAAUUGUUAAUUUUAGCAUAUUAUAAAAAUGUAUGGCUUAUUAUGUAAUCUGUUAACAGUUUUCUUACAAUCGUUUAAAAUUUUUAUAGCAUUACGUCAGGUAUUGAAUGGUUCUUUAAACAGUUUACUUAAUAUAUACAUGUGGUAUAAAUGGUAUGUUAUUACUUUUCAAUAUGAAUAUGCAUUUCUUAGCAAUCGCUAAUUCAAUACGUCAGGUAUUGAAUGGUCCUUUAAACAGUUUACUUAAUAUAUCAAUAUUAUCAUUUUGGAAUAUUUAACUCUCUGUGCUUACUUUUGAAAACUUCAUUGAUACCCUUGAAUGAUAUAUCAGAUACAUUAACGCUUCGUAUAAAUAAUGAUGGUGUACCUUUAUCAAGAUGUUUAGUUUUAUGUAUUUGGCCUAUUCUUGGUAUGGUAAAAGAACUACCUCAUCUUGGUGUCUUUACAAUAGGCAUCUACUCAGGAACUUCCAAGCCUAACCGUGUAAAUGAUUAUUUAAAAGCUUUUGUUGAUGAUAUGUUGACAGUAGCAAAAAUUGAUGUAUUUUUUAAUGACAAAAAAUUUAAUAUUACUUUUGAUGGUUUUAUUUGUGAUGCACCUGCAAGAUCAUUUUUAAAGUGUACGAAAGGGCAUUCUGGAUAUUAUGGCUGUGAAAGGUGUACACAGAAAGGGGAGUACUUUAACAAUCGUAUAAUAUUUCCUGAACUUUCUCCUCCUUUAAGAACUGAUGAGCAAUUUAAUGCAUUUAUUUGACAUGGUCAUCAUAAUGGAAAAUCUUCUUUGCAUGACACAAGUAUUGGUGUUGUUGGUCAAUUUGUUUUAAACUAUAAAUAUAUAAAAUUUACUAUAUAAAAUGUAAACGUCUUAUAUUUUUGUAAAUAAUAAAAUCGACUUAGUUAA